rnacentral:rRNA from 1 species
AUUGAACGCUGGCGGCAGGCCUAACACAUGCAAGUCGAACGGUAGCACAGAGAGCUUGCUCUCGGGUGACGAGUGGCGGACGGGUGAGUAACGUCUGGGAAACUGCCCGAUGGAGGGGGAUAACUACUGGAAACGGUAGCUAAUACCGCAUAACGUCGCAAGACCAAAGUGGGGGACCUUCGGGCCUCACACCAUCGGAUGUGCCCAGCUGGGAUUAGCUAGUAGGUGGGGUAAAGGCUCCCCUAGGCCACGGUGCCUAGAUGGACUGAGAGGAGUACCAGCCGCAGUGGAACUGAGACACGGUCCAAGCUCCUACGGGAGGCAGCAGUGAGGAAUAUUGCACAAUGGGAGCAAGCCUGAUGCAGCCAUGCCGGGUGUAUGAAAGAGGCCUUCGGGUUGUAGAGGACUUUUGUCAGGGAGGAAAUCCCUAGGGCUAAUAACACUGGGGGAUGACAGUACCUGAAGAAUAAGCACCGGCUAACUACGUGCCAGCCGCCGCCGUAA